UGGGUUGGGCGGUGGGCUUCGCCCAGCUCGAAGGCUCCUCGAAACGGGCCCCCAAUAGGGAGAGGGCGAGCCCGAUUAAGAGACCCGGAGUGACCCAAGGGGAGAGCAGCUCCAUCCUAUCACUGCCGCCGCGCGAAGGAGCCACGUCGACGCAUUCCCCCCAGAUUCGGGGAGCUCCGCCGCCAGCCGCUGAACAACGGGGGGCGUGGCCAUUAGCGGCUAACACUGGUUGGAAAUAUCGCAGAAUUGUCCUCUUUCAUCAUGAUACCAUGUACUUGAGUCUCUCUCGAUGCAUCUGCGGGACAAAUACUUGUACUCAGUUCUUGAGAGACCGAAGAGUUGCGGAGGCGGGCGAAAUGGCUUCUCGGGCUUUCUUUACUUUUAGAGAUGUGAGUGAGAGGAGAGAGAGCGAGAGAGAGAGAGAGAGAGAGAGAGAGAGUGGUGCGAGAAAC
rnacentral:lncRNA from 1 species